CUCUCCCGUGGAGCCCCCACCUCGUCCAGGCAGCCAUGGAAGGCCGGUCAGGCGCGGCGGUGGCUGCCGCCGGCGUCGUCCGUCCACUACUCAACGCCUCGCGGUCGCGGGUCUCCUCUCUACCGCGGCAGCCCACCGCCCACUCCCUCCUCCUGGCCAUCUCCUUCGCCCCUUCCCCGUCUCCUCCGCAAGUACGCCGUCCGUUCCUCGACGCAUCUCAUGCUACCUCCUCAGUCCCAGUAGUCCCACCGCACACCCAGAGCACCACUCCCCCUCCUCCUCAUAGUCUCCCCCAGGCCUCCAUGUCUCCCUGUAACAAUAGUUCAGUACAAAAUUGCUCUGCUUCUCCGUCGCGGUUCGCUGCACGCUCGCCAGGAUUUGACUGAGCUCAAAGCCUCAACGACCGCCCAUAUGCUCUGAAUGUGCAAGGAAGCCGCCGGGCUGCUUGGGGAUGCCAAGUAGUACAAAAUUGCGGACCUGCAUAUAUUAUUCGAUGACCAAAUUGUGGACUCCAAAUUGCAAGCUCAGAGUCGAGUAUACUAUCAACACAUUGAGUAACCAGCUUACUCCUCGAAGUCUGAAUCAUGGCGGAGGCUGUUGUCGGGCACCUGGUGGUCACGCUCGGCUCGGCGCUGGCGACAGAGGCGGCCACCUUCGGCUGGGCGCUGCUGUGCCAGGAGGCCGCGGCCCUGAGGGGCCUCUUCGGCAAGAUCCACGAGUCCAAGGUGUCUCUAAUGAAUUCAUUUUCAUAAUAUCUUAUUGACAUGAAUGCAGUGUCAUCCUGAAGCAAAAAACGGUGUUAUUGAAGCCCUGGCCUUGACAUGUAGUGUCAUUGAUUUAUCAAGAAGGUACCAACUCUGUAGUCUAUACCAUUAGGCGCUAACCACUUUUAUUAGCCGCUAACCAGGUAAUUAUCGUGUCUAUACCAUUUGAGGACAACUCUGCUGAAUUUUUCAAAAGACUUCUAUUGUUAUCUCCAUUUGGUGCCUAUCCCCAUCAGGUUCAUAACACUAUUUGCAAAAUUGGGGGAUUCAGUAUUCCAUAGAUUGAUAUACUAUUAAUUACAUUGCAGGUAAAUUUCCUAGGCACGUAGUUCACAAAUAUAUUUUUGGGCUACCAGAAGAGGUGGACUGGUACUCUGCAGAUGAAAAGAUGAUUAUGGCACUUUCUUGAUACAUAUACCACCCAUUGUUCAUCUCACUCCACAAUUUCUUUGUUGACGCAAUCUUGGAUCAGAUCUUAAGAAACCUGACGUACGAGUAUGAGGAGCAAGCACCACAUGACAUGGAAGGCCUUUGACAGCCAUGACUUAGCAAGCACCACAUUGCAAGCUUAAUCAUUUGAAUUACUUGCUCCUGGUGUGGGACCAUGUCGUCACUAUGCUUGAUGACCAAACUGACUACAGUUUGCUUACUGCAGAUGAGAGAUCUAAUCUGGUGGUACUGAUGACUACCUGAAAGAUUGGCUUGCUGGCAUGACAUUUAGUUGCUGGCACUGCUUUGACAUUUCUGCAGACGACUUUUAGACUGCUCUCUCAAUGUCAGAGAUUCCAAAAGGUUUAAUCUUUGUCUUGGUAGCUGUCCGCCGAAGUAAUCUAGUACAGUAGACGCCUGGCUCAAGGUCCUGAAAUCGUCAUUCUAGUUGUUUUCGUCAUCCUGUAAGCAACUGCAGUGGUAAGCAUUAGCAUUUUUCGGUUCAUAUCAAUAAACAAUGUCAAGAAAGACUUCCAAUCAGAAGUCCAGCUGAGGCUUUUUCGUUUCGAUUUUGCGAGUAUUCAGGUGUCUGCGUGAUGAGAAAUUUCUAAGACAAAGACCAUAUUCAGGUGUCUGCGUGAUUUUGUGAGUAUUCAGGUGUCCAGCCGCACAGUCAUAGUGUGUUGAAUUAUUUCACAAGACCAUAUUCUACUUUUCAAAAACUAAAUAAAUCUUGUUGUAAAGGUAUUAGACCUAGUGAUCCUACUACUGACGUGAUUUUCCUUCUCUGCCAAUUUCUGAACACUUGGGCAAAACUUCAAAAAGUUGCUCUGCAAAAGGUUCUGCAGAAGGGGGCUAGCACGAUGGUGAAAAAGGCGAAGGAGAACUUUGGCCCGCAACACGGCUGGACCCUGUGAUCAGGAGGCUGGCCAUGUAGUUUUGUGCGUCGGUAGAGAACUCGAGUCUCGCCUGUUGUGGCCUAAAUGCUGCUGCUGUUUCUAAUUUAGCUGAAUGUGCAAAGUCGAAUGAACUUCUUCAUGAUAAUAUAUUCCUAGGCUGUGCAGUUUAGCUGAAAAUAACAACUGUUCUUGUGCAUUUUCUCCAGAUGGUUAUGGCAGUUUUUGCAUACAUAUACCACCAAUCGUUCAUCUCGCCCCGCAAUUUCUCUGCCGACGCAAUCUUGGAUCAGAUCUUAAGAAACCUGAGGUACGAGGAGCAGAGGACCUUGUAUGAGCUACUCGGGGAGAUGUUAGGCAACUUAUACAAAGCUGAGAAAUUGUCUGCUUGCUUAUGAAAAGCACACAAUACAAUACAGUAGGCUGACUGUGUAUGUAUUUAUUUAUUUGAGUGCUCCCUCGGUUCGCCGUCAUGAAUGUAGCUCUAGAUUAACCGUGUACAGCAUCGUCAUCGUCAUGGCUCUCCUCUGUACCCUUCUGAGUUUUGAUGGAGUGAUGGUGUCCUUGUCGAAAGCAUUGUACAGAAUGAAUGUAUGAACUGUGGUUGAUAGGGCUAACUAAUUAAUCAGGUGCUUGAUGCUUGAUUCCCCUGCUGUUGAUUGAUUUA